GAUGAACGCUAGCGGCAGGCCUAACACAUGCAAGUCGAGGGGCAGCAUACAACAAGCUUGCUUGUUUGGUGGCGACCGGCGCACGGGUGCGUAACGCGUAUGCAACCUACCCUGUACUGGGGGAUAGCCCGGAGAAAUUCGGAUUAAGACCCCAUAGUAUAUAUCAUUCGCAUGUUUGAUAUAUUAAAGGUUACGGUACAGGAUGGGCAUGCGUCCUAUUAGCUUGUUGGUGAGGUAACGGCUCACCAAGGCGACGAUAGGUAGGGGGCCUGAGAGGGUGGUCCCCCACACUGGUACUGAGACACGGACCAGACUCCUACGGGAGGCAGCAGUGAGGAAUAUUGGUCAAUGGGCGCAAGCCUGAACCAGCCAUGCCGCGUGCAGGAAGAAGGUCCUAUGGAUUGUAAACUGCUUUUAUUUGGGAAUAAACCUCUUUACGUGUAGAGAGCUGAAGGUACCAAAUGAAUAAGCACCGGCUAACUCCGUGCCAGCCGCCGCCGUAAGAC
rnacentral:rRNA from 1 species